UACAGAGGUCCCAAGCGUUGUUCGGAUUCAUUGGGCGUAAAGGGUGUGUAGGUGGCGCCGUAAGUCGGGUGUGAAAUUUCGGAGCUUAACUCCGAAACUGCAUCGACUACUGCGGUGCUUGAGGACUGGAGAGGAGACUGGAAUUCAUGGUGUAGCAGUGAAAUGCGUAGAGAUCAUGAGGAAGACCAGUGGCGAAGGCGGGUCUCUGGACCAGUUCCUGACGCUGAGGCACGAAGGUCAGGGGCAGCAAACGGG
rnacentral:rRNA from 1 species